rnacentral:rRNA from 1 species
CGGUGAUGAUGCCUGAACGGUUCCACCUGUUCCCAUUCCGAACACAGUAGUUAAGCGUUCAAAGGCCGAGGGUACUUCGUUGGAGAC